rnacentral:rRNA from 1 species
GGUCUUAUUUUGAUUAUUAGAAAAAAUUUUUUUAGUAGUUUGAGCGAAAGUUAGGGGUUUCCUAGAGAGGACUGAGUACUGAGAAGGAAAGUUUAGUUAUUUAUUUAGAAUAUUGGGUUACUUAGUACCUUUUGUAUUAGGGUUGGUUUAUGUGGUUUUGCUUUUGUUAUUUCUCGAUGAGUGUCGGGCUAUUUUUCUUUGGUUUAUUCUCGUUGUAUAGAGUUGGAUAGGGGAUUAUAGGUAUGAAAUAUUAUUCAAGUUGCUUUUUAUCUGGUUCUUUAAGAAAUUUAAUAUUCGGUAAUAUUAUUAUGACGGUAGACAGGGAUUAGCUUGUUUAUUUUUUAUAUUGGGUUUAGGUUGAAGUUUGUUUGUUAAGUUGAUAGUGCUUAUUUUAAUGGAGUUAUUAUUGGGCGGGUUAAUUUUAUUAUUUUUUGUUUUUAUUUUUAUAUUAAGGUUAUAUUGUUAAUUUUUAGUGGUUUGUAAUAAUGAUUGUAUUAGUAAUAAUUUUUAUUGGUGUUGUUGUGGCUUAUUCUGGUUAUGUUAUUAAUUAGGUGGUGUCUUAAAUUAGAGCUGAUGAAUUAGGCAAUAUGAACUUCUGACUGUUUAGCAAAGACAUUGUUUUUUGUUGUGGUAAAAAAUAAGUUCUGUCCACUGCUAUUAGGUGAAGGGCUGCAGUAUUUUGACUGUAUGAAGGUAGCAUAAUCAUUAGCUUCUUAAUUAGAAGCUGGUAUGAAGGUGAAACAGGGGUUUGCUGUAUUUGUUCUAUUCGUUGAAUUUUAUUUUCAUGUGAAAAAUCAUGGUUGAUUUAAUGGGACAAGAAGACCCUAAUAAGUUUUAUUUUUUUUUCUUAAUGCGUGUAUAGGCUUUGAUUUACGCAAUUUAUUUAGGGGAGUUUGGCUGGGGCGGCAGUUUAUUUGACAUAGAUUAAUUUUUAACUUUUUGUGGCGUUUUUUGGACCUAGUUUGUUUAGAUUAGUGUAAAACUACUGUAGGGAUAACAGCGUGAUUUUUUUUGAGAGUUCUAAUUGACAAUAAA